rnacentral:snRNA from 1 species
GGAUGCGAGGGCGACCUGGUUGUGACAUCUGUCACCCCAUUGAUUGCCAGGGUUGAUUUGGCUGAUCUGGCUGGCUAGACGGGUGUCCCCUUCCUCCCUCUCUACUCCAUGUGUGGCCCUCCCGAGGCGGUGUGUUCAGUUGGACGAGGACGAACAUCCCAGAUAGAAGGAGUCUAUCGUUCAUCCAUCAAGGGAGGGCUGUCCUCCUCUGCUAGAACCUCCAAACAGACAAGCUCUAGUGACGGAGUCUAGCCCAUCAGGACAAGUGGGGCAGUAGCCCAGCAGAGGUUCAGGAUACUCCCCCGUGAACACACUCCUGUUGGCCUCCUCCU